AGUGUUCUGCACAGUGAAUGCUCUUGACUUACUGUUCCUGAUCGGUCUGCCCCUUUACUAUCCCCACAAUAACUGCAAUGCACUAUUGUCUAAUGGAGCUGGUUGGCAGCCCAAAGAAAGUUCCAACUACAAUUACAGUUGAUAACAUGCAUCUGGACCAUUUGAACCUGUCAUUUGUUUUCCAUGAUAAAUAGUGAAGAACUGGAAGGACAGUCAGAUCCCAAGAACAACAAGGAGGACAUUGAACUGGGGAAGACCUUGGAAGUUCUCCUAUGUUCUCUGCUUCAUUUCUUCCUCUUACAUUUCCAGGACUGUGCAGGGUCAUUGAAGCUUUUUGGUUUUUAGUCCAGAUCUGCUCACUCUUCAGAAGAUUUGUCAUUUUAGUGAAAACAUAUGAAUGGUUUCUGUGCA